CACACACACAGAUAAGAGAGGGAGGGAGUGAGGGAGGGAGACAGAGGGAGAGAGUCAGGCACAAGUCUACAAGGUCCGCAGGAGGAGGGACUAACGGAAGACUGGUUGCAUGACUGUGAGUAGAUUUGGAGGUGAUGCCCCCAGUAGUGCUCUAGUAGGUGGUAGCAGCAGAGCAGCCCGGAGGAGAGCAGCAGAGGAACAGAGGGAGUGAGAGAGCAGACCAGCUGGCAGAAGUGGCCUGCUCGGCGUCAGCCUAUCACCUACCUCUCCUGCCGCACACCCGAUGAGCACUGGCCACCGGGAGAGAGAGGGUCGAGGGAGGCAGACGCAGAGAAAAAAAAAAAAGAGUGAGCGAGCCCUGGACACUAAAGCCCACCCUGCUCGUCUAUUCUGCCCACUCUCUGCUCAGAUCACCUGUUACACCAGCUGUACCCGUUUUUAAUCCACAAGAAAGUGGAGCUUGGCACAGGAGCCGGAAUUCCUCUGCAGGGUGACUGAAAU